GGCAUCACUCUGUUAGCUUUGGAACUGCUGAAAUCCCUCACAGUCACAGCAUCGUGGCAGCUAAUGUCUAUUGAAAAGACCACACGUUUUCGUGUGAAGGGUACAUAUUAUGUAGAAAGUGAUUUUGAGUGGAUUCCUCGAGGCACCAUUCCUUCCUUGGUAAAAUGGAUAACCCUUGACUGCUCUGAGGUUAAGCAACAUUAAUUUCAGAGAACACCUAAGGCUAAGCAAGCCCUGGAGUAAUGUUUUCCACCCCCCAACUCUACUUUAACUGUCUGUGUAUACAUUUAGAUACGUAGCCUUAAUAAUUUCAUUUCUCAAGAAACAUGUGUCAGGGAAUCUCCAAAUUUGUCUGCUCAUCGCUGCUCUUUGUCACUGCGUAGCCGUCACAAACCUGUGGGAUAAGGGGAACCAAUCUGGCACCCCCCCCCAGCAGAGGAUUUCCAGGGAAGUGUGCGUUUGCUUUGUUUCAACCCAUUUGAUGUCAUUUGAAUCAGCAAGUGUGAAGUUUGUCUCGGAGACGCGUAUUGGCUGCAGGAGAAGAUAGGAUCUUACGUGUUUACAGAGAGGAAACCUCCCGGCUCCUUUCUGCAAGAAGAAUUUCUGGGUUCUUUCUACCCAGCGGGGAGAACUUCUUACCCACGUGGGGCGGCUUGGCAAGACACAGCCCCCAGAGGCUCCAGCCCGCCUGUCGCGGGGACCGUGCAUCAGGACAGAAUGACGAUGCCGGCGCCCACGUCACCCCUCUUCGCACGACCUAACCAAUUCUUAUUCUCUCUUUCAAAGCCGGGGGUUUCUUUUCUCCUUCCUUCGAUCCACCCCAUCCCUCUCCCCCACCUCCCACCGAAAGGAAUGAGGACGGUCCAGGGCUUCCAUUUGCGAUUGUGUUUCACAUAAGCCCCGAGGGGUCGUGGACUCUCUUGAAUUUUCACUGCCAAACUGCUUCCAGCUGCCCUCACCACAAUAAAAUGCAGUGUUUGCUGAGGAUUUCAGCUGCCACCUGGGGGCUCCGAGUUCUCAAUGAAUGCCAUUUAGCAAGGCUGGUGGUGAAAUGGUGACAAAUGGUACCUUGGCUUUUUUUCUCGUGUCUGUGGUUUAGGACUAGUUGGUUUCAGUCUUGCUGGCUCUCUUUUCUGUCUUACCACUCUUUUCCACAUUUAAAGUCGGUUACUCUCCUGCAGACUUAUGGCAGCAAGCCUUGUGCUGUUGACAGAAGCCAUUUGUUGGUUAGAAGAUUCAUAUUUUAGACGAUUGGCAAGUAUUGAUUUUAUAGUUGGUCCAUGCUGCAGAAUGUAUGUUUAUUUUUAAAGUCUGCUUCUUCCACUAGCAACAUAAUUUUUCUUCGUUAUGUUGUUAUCACUCUGCUCACAUGAAAUGGCCUGGAUGGUUGCUUCUUUUAUCUCUGGUCACGCCCGGUCAGAUAGGCUUGUGGGCAUAAGAUUAGCCGGGGACUGGCCCCCAUCUGAGCCCAGUUUGCUCUCCAAACACCCCCGACAGCUUCCCUGGGUAGCGGGUCUCUGCCUCAGGCUCAGCCCCGCCCACCCACCAGGAGUCACUUGUUGGCCUUGGCCCUCGGCCCUGGCCCUGGCAGCACCCUGCUCCCUUCCCCUCCCUGCACGGCCUUCUGCCUCCAUCCGCCUUGGUUCUGAGCUCAUCAUCAGCUGAGCUGAGAAGUGGAAAAGCGAGGGAGCGCCACGGAGGGGCCACGUCACGAAACGGACCAACGUCCCUGGGAGGACAGUGCCCACGCCAUUUCUGAUGAGGAACAGGGACCCCUGCUUCUAAAAGGGGAAGGAAGUGAGUGUCACUGGAGACUUGUCAAGGAAUUCUGGCCAGAUGGCUCCACGUGCUGGGGCAGCUUCCUGCCUCCAGCAGAAGAAUCAGAGCGCAUUUCUCCCUGGAGGGGACAGUGUGGGUUCUUAUCCACCUGCACAACAAGGGCAGGUGCCGUCUGAAGUGGAAAGGGGGUUUUUCUACAAUCCAGAGCAACUUGGAGUAUAAUCAGUAAGCAACUUAAACUCUUCGUGCUGUUCCAUGCUGUUCCAUUAAUUUAGUGCCAACGCACGUACCCGCACACGCAGACUGUGACCCCGUCUCGGUAGUUUCCCAGGCCCGUUCCCAGCAGGUGCCUCCCUGGAGCUCUCCUUUGCCCCAAGGCCCCAGUGUCCCUCUUUGUGCCAAAUCAAUUCUUCCGAUUAAGCUUGACUUGCUGUCUGCCUCUGCUGGCUCAGACCUCCUUCACAUCUUGUUUGAAUCUUUCUCUGAAACCUCACUUCACACUCAUGUGCAUACGCUUGUGCAUGUGCACGUGUGUGCACACGUGCGCGCACACGUUUCAUUAAGCCAUGCUAGUGGAUACAGCACCUGCGUGCGUAUUUCCAGACCCUUUACCUUCUCAGACCUCUCGGCUAGCUAAAGCCCAGAAAAUGGCAAUCGUAUUACAAUAUAUAAGUGUAAGCAAUCAACAUGCAAUACACCUUACAUUUACACAAUGUUGUACAUCAAAUAGACUUCAAUUAAAAAUGAAACGGAGUUUCCAUCGUGGUGCAGUGGUUAACAGAUCUGACUAGGAACCAUGAGGUUGCAGGUUCGAUCCCUGGCUUCAAUCAGUGGGUUAAGGGUCCAGCGUUGCCGUGAGCUGUGGUGUAGGUCGCAGAUGCGGCUCAGAUCCUGCGUUGCUGUGACUGUUGCAUAAGCUGGCGGCUGCAGCUCCAAUUAAACCCCUAGUCUGGGAACCUCCAUAUGCCGCUGGAGUGACCCUAGAAAAGGCAAAAAGACACACACACACACACACACACACACACAAAUGAAAUAAAAUAGGAGUUCCUGUUGUGGCUCAGCAGGUUAAGAACCCAACCAGUAUCCAUGAAAAUUUGGGUUCUAUCCCUGCCCUUGCUCAGUGGGUUAGGGAUCCGGCGUGGCUGAGAGCUGUGGUGUAGGUUGCAGAUGUGGCUCGGAUCUGAU
ensembl:lncRNA